rnacentral:rRNA from 1 species
GACGAACGCUGGCGGCGUGCUUAACACAUGCAAGUCGAGCGGUAAGGCCCUUUCGGGGGUAUACGAGCGGCGAACGGGUGAGUAACACGUGAGCAACCUGCCCUUCUCUUUGGAAUAAGCGUUGGAAACGACGUCUAAUGCCGAAUAUGACCCCCUGUCGCAUGGUGGGGGGUGGAAAGCUCUGGCGGAGAAGGAUGGGCUCGCGGCCUAUCAGCUUGUUGGUGUGGGUAAUGGCCCACCAAGGCGACGACGGGUAGCCGGCCUGAGAGGGUGACCGGCCACACUGGGACUGAGACACGGCCCAGACUCCUACGGGAGGCAGCAGUGGGGAAUAUUGGACAAUGGGCGAAAGCCUGAUCCAGCAACGCCGCGUGAGGGAUGACGGCCUUCGGUUUGCAAACCUCUUUCAGCAGGGACGAAGCGAGAAUGACGGUACCUGCAGAAGAAGGACCGGCCAACUACGUGCCAGCCGCCGCCGUAA